UCGAACGGGAAGCUUAACUUCGGUUAAGUGGAGAGUGGCGGACGGGUGAGUAACACGUUGAUACCUGCCCUGGAGAAGGGGACAACCAGUGGAAACGCUGGCUAAUACCCUAUGGUCAGGCCGAUUAGUCGGUCUGUAAACGCUUCGGUGCUCCGGGAGGGGUCAGCGGGCUAUCAGCUAGUUGGUAAGGUAAUGGCUCACCAAGGCAAAGACGGCUAGGGGGCGUGAGAGCGCGACCCCCCACAAUGGGACUGAGACACGGCCCAUACUCCUACGGGAGGCAGCAGUGAGGAAUAUUGCACAAUGGGGGAAACCCUGAUGCAGCAAUGCCGCGUGAGUGAAGAAGGCCUUCGGGUUGUAAAGCUCUUUUCUGUGGGAAGAGAGAGGACGGUACCACAGGAAUAAGUCCCGGCUAACUACGUGCCAGCAGCCGCGGUAAAACGUAGGGGGCAAGCGUUAUCCGGAAUCAUUGGGCGUAAAGCGCAUGUAGGCGGUUUAUUAAGUUGGAUGUGAAAGCUCACGGCUUAACCGAGAGAGGUCAUCCAAAACUGGUAAACUUGAGUAAGGUAGAGGGGUACAGAAUUCCUGGUGUAGUGGUGGAAUGCGUAGAGAUCAGGAGGAAUACCAGAGGCGAAAGCGGUACCCUGGGCCUAAACUGACGCUGAGAUGCGAAAGCGUGGGGAGCGAACGGGAUUAGAUACCCCGGUAGUCCACGCUGUAAACGAUGGAUACUAGGUGUAGCGGGGUAUUGACCCCUGCUGAGCCGGAGUAAACGCGAUAAGUAUCCCGCCUGGGGAGUACGGCCGCAAGGCUAAAACUCAAAGGAAUUGACGGGGGCCCGCACAAGCAGCGGAGCGUGUGGUUU
rnacentral:rRNA from 1 species